rnacentral:piRNA from 1 species
UCCAGGACCCAGGCUGGUGAUGAGCAUU